GUGCUCGCUUUGGCAGCACAUAUACUAAAAUUGGAACGAUACAGAGAAGAUUAGCAAGGCCCCUGCGCAAGGAUGACAAGUGUUCUAUAUUAAAAAAAAAAAAAAGAA